rnacentral:rRNA from 1 species
GACGUGGGGUGCCAGUGUUAUUCUUCGUGGUUCGGCGUAAAGGGUAUGUAGGUCGUUAAUUAAGUUAUUUCUUAAAGAGAGGCGUAGUACGUAAUAAAAGGUUGAUAAACUGAUUGACUAGAGUUUUGCAGAGGUUUGUGGUACACGUAGAGUACAUGUGAAAUGGUUCAAUUCUAUAAGGACCACCAAUGGCGAAGGCAACAAACUAUGCUCUUCUGACGCUAAGGUACGAAGGUUCGGGUAUCAAAAGGG